GUAGAUUUCCAUGCCCUUGCUAUUAGGAGAUUUUCUGCUAUAGGGAUGUGGAAGUGGAGGUUAGCAUCUGGUUCAGAAAGUCUGUCUGAGUCCAUGAAUAAUAAGCACAUUUCAGGUGUGAGUGAUAUAGUCUGCCCUCUGAGAUGUGAUAUUAUGUUUCCCACCAUGCUCCAAAAGGGGAGACUGUUAUCACCUGACCACCAGGUGUGAUACAUUGUUCCCCACUCUUUUAGGCAUCGCCAGCACAUGCUGGAUGUGUUUGGGUACAUGUGGGCUAGCUGAUCUGGUCCCAUGUAUCACCUGUAUUGUAGUUUUCGAACUAGCUCCAGGUGUGAUGCACAACUUGUUUUGUCUUUGUGGGCCAAAAAGGCUCUGGUCCAAUGUGUUGUGUCAAAUUCCUUACCUAUGUCAGUUUUCCAGGCUACCAUAUACAGGUCACACAUGUGUUAAUAGAUUGUAUGUGGAAGAGAAUAUCUUUUUUGGUGUUGUCAGGGAGUCACAUGUUCAUUCAAAAUAUGCCAUGAUCGGUGUAAUGGUUUGUGCUAGGUUGGGUAGUAAGAUGGAUUUAAUUUGUGAAUAGGAAAAUACUGCUCUGGCAGUAAGGUAAAAUUUGGUCUGUAGGUUCAGGAACUGUAGCAUGUGUGUUUCUUUCAUAAGCUGUCUUGUUUGUGUGUAUCUUUUCUCUAGCCAAGUCCAAAAGUCAAAUAAAGGGUUGGCAAUGUGCAGGCUAUAGUGUGGGGUAUUCAAUGUCCAUUCAUCCCUGUAACCGUGUUGCUUCCUUAGUCCAUCCCAGACAUCUAGCAGUAAUCUGGUGGUGUGUAGGAUAUGUAAUGUUGCAGGUCUCCAGUGCCCACCAACUCCAUUACUCCCCUGAUGCGGAGAUUAUUGCGCCAGGCCCGGUCUUUGAUGUCCGCUAGCUUGGUGUCAUAGCUUUCCAUGUGAGACAUUAGUUCUUCCACUUUCGAGGCCAAAUUAAUGUGCACCUCUGCUUGUUUGGCCAUUUUGUCUUCUAUGGCUUAUGUCCUUGUACCAAGCUUGUGAAGGUCUUUUUGAAGUUGGUGUAUAGAAUUUUGCAGGAUUUGAAGCAUUUUCGCAGACAUGUCAUCGAGCAUGUUUUGCAUCACCGCUUCUGUGAGCGGGGAUUCCG